rnacentral:rRNA from 1 species
CCUGGAUUGGACUGCGGCCGAUCAGGCUGUUGGUGAGGUAAUGGCCCACCAAACCUGUAACCGGUACGGGCUCUGAGAGGAGGAGCCCGGAGAUGGGCACUUAGACAAGGGCCCAGGCCCUAUGGGGCGCAGCAGGCGCGAAACCUCUGCAAUAAGCGAAAGCUUGACAGGGUUACUCUGAGUGAUUUCCGCUAAGGAAGUCUUUUGGCACCUCUAAAAAUGGUGCAGAAUAAGGGGUGGGCAAGCCUGGUGUCAGCCGCCGCGGUAAUACCAGCACCCCGAGUGGUCGGGACGAUUAUUGGGCCUAAAGCAUCCGUAGCCGGUUCUACAAGUCUUCCGUUAAAUCCACCUGCUUAACAGAUGGGCUGCGGAGGAUACUAUGGAGCUAGGAGGCGGGAGAGGCAAGCGGUACUUAGUGGGUAGGGGUAAAAUCCGUUGAUCCAUUGAAGACCACCAGUGGCGAAGGCGGCUUGCCAGAACGCACUCGACGGUGAGGGAUGAAAGCUGGGGGAGCAAACCGGAUUAGAUACCCGGGUAGUCCCAGCUGUAAACGAUGCAGACUCGGUGAUGAAUAGGCUUCGUGCCUCUUCAGUGCCGCAGGGAAGCCGUUAAGUCUGCCGCCUGGGGAGUACGGUCGCAAGACUG